GGCCGCGGGAAUUCGAUUCAGGCCUAACACAUGCAAGUCGAACGGCAGCACGGAGCUUGCUCUGGUGGCGAGUGGCGAACGGGUGAGUAAUAUAUCGGAACGUACCCUAGGGUGGGGGAUAACGUAGCGAAAGUUACGCUAAUACCGCAUACGAUCUACGGAUGAAAGUGGGGGAUCGCAAGACCUCAUGCUCGUGGAGCGGCCGAUAUCUGAUUAGCUAGUUGGUAGGGUAAAAGCCUACCAAGGCAUCGAUCAGUAGCUGGUCUGAGAGGACGACCAGCCACACUGGAACUAAAACACGGUCCAGACUCCUACGGGAGGCAGCAGUGGGGAAUUUUGGACAAUGGGCGAAAGCCUGAUCCAGCAAGGCCGCGUGAGUGAAGAAGGCCUUCGGGUGUAAAUUAAAAGUGUCAGGGAAGAAACGGUGAGGGCUAAUAUCCCUUGCUAAUGACGGUAC
rnacentral:rRNA from 1 species